AGUAGUUCAAUUGGUAGAGCAUCGGUCUCCAAAACCGAGUGUUGAGGGUUCGAGUCCUUCCUG
rnacentral:tRNA from 14 species